GGAGGGGGGUGUGGCCUAUAGCCCAUAACUGGUGGUAAAGGGUGGUCCAUGGGGUACAGCCUCCAAGGCGAUCCUGGGAAAGGACCAGGACUCUUGCAUACAAAAUAGCCUGCAGAAAAGAAAUGAGAGGUAUGUUCAUAGGACAGAACAGAGCACCAACACCAGCAAAAAGCAGAAACCCAAAGCAGCAGUGCUCAUAUCCUACUAGCUUCCCCACCAUCAGUUUCCAAGAUGGCAACAUCAGCGCCAACAUCUCUACCCAUACUUUGGUUUCCACUUACAGCUUUGGGGUGAGGAAUGGAUGUGAUUGGGAUAAACUAGUGUCUCCACGUGUCUGGAAACGUAGAAACAGCAAGGGCCCUUUUUCUAGAAGAUUUAUAGGCUGAAUACUAAAUUAACAAAGUAGCAUAUUCCAGAUAGGAAGGCAACUAUGUCCAGGAUCACACUCCACCCUUCAUCCCCUCCGCCACAGAGGCUGUUUAUUGUGUAUGUGAAGAACUACAGAAUGAGAAGGAAUGACAAUACCAGUGUCCACACAUGGAAUCAUAGCCCUCGUGGCUCAAAGCUCUGCCUCUAAGUCCCUGCCUGUGCCCAAACUACUUCUGUCCCAACAAUGAGGUCUCCUCCUCUCUAAAGUGCUAUCCAUGGGCACAGAGACACAUGGGGAGAUGGGGAUCCUGAGGGCCUACAGAGGACCUGGGAAAGCAUGCUCUUAGAGAAACAGGUAACCGAUACAUGUUAGUUGGGUUCAGCUAAUUUAUUUUAGUUCGGAGGUACUUCUCAGCCUAAGUGCAGUACACUUUGCAGGGUAAUUGUGUCCUCUGGAAAAAUGAGCUGAAAUUCCAGAAGACAAAAUUAACACAAAUGCACUUUGAUGUCUGGUUUAAGUUUCCAUGUUUUUAGCUGUACCUGUGACACAGGACACGAGAGAACGUGCUCAUGUGAACACAAGUGAAGGACACCGUGGGGACUUGCCACACAGAUCCCAGCACGUGGACUGUGUACAGAGCACUUCUGGUGAAGCGCUACGUCUGCUUUUCUGCCUACGGCCCCAUUCCUUCUCCACAAGAGACGCCUGUACCAACCCAUGGUGGGGGAAAGGACAAAGAUGAGAUCCUGAGAAACUUGAGGAAUAUGGUAAUGGCAGCAGACACAUUCCCCUUGCAUCACAAUGGUCUGUGGUACCGCCUCUGCACCUUGGCCCAAGACCUAACAGCAACAAAAAUAAGGGUUGCAAAGACGAGGGCCAUGAAGUGGUACUACCACAUUGAUGGGUAUGAUUCAUUGUACGACACACUGCUUUCCUACAUAUUAUGACAAUUGACACCACCCCCGAGGAAUGUUAGCAUGGACAAAGUUUCCACACAGUCUGGCCACUACUUGAGAUCUGCAAAUGUUUAGAAACUUGUUUUAUUCUUUCUAAAACUUACCUUUUUUCUCUGUUAAUACUCUAUGCAUAUGUUGACUUUAAACAUUGCAAAAAGAUUAAAAACACAAUAAUGAACAGCGGUUUCAUUAGCUGCUGGUAAUUACUAGCUGAACUCACUUGUUUAUUUCUUCUG